rnacentral:lncRNA from 1 species
AACUCGAGCCCCACCCCUUAGCCUCCGAGAAAGCUAUCCAACAUCUCAGCAAGGGCCCCCCUCUUGCACAGGGGCCAGCCAUAGCCAGGAGGUGAGCACGCAGUUAUGCAGAUCCAAACUGAGAUCGCUCCACCUCUGAGCACCUCUCCACCCUGCCAACUUCCGGGACCACUCCUGCACCAGCUUUUUCCCUGGUAGCUCACACAUGGGC